UGGGGAAUUUUGGACAAUGGGCGAAAGCCUGAUCCAGCAAUGCCGCGUGUGUGAAGAAGGCCUUCGGGUUGUAAAGCACUUUUGUCCGGAAAGAAAUCCUUGGCUCUAAUACAGUCGGGGGAUGACGGUACCGGAAGAAUAAGCACCGGCUAACUACGUGCCAGCAGCCGCGGUAAUACGUAGGGUGCAAGCGUUAAUCGGAAUUACUGGGCGUAAAGCGUGCGCAGGCGGUUUGCUAAGACCGAUGUGAAAUCCCCGGGCUCAACCUGGGAACUGCAUUGGUGACUGGCAGGCUAGAGUAUGGCAGAGGGGGGUAGAAUUCCACGUGUAGCAGUGAAAUGCGUAGAGAUGUGGAGGAAUACCGAUGGCGAAGGCAGCCCCCUGGGCCAAUACUGACGCUCAUGCACGAAAAGCGUGGGGAGCAAAACAGGAUUAGAUACCCUGGUAGUCCAGCGCCCUAAAACGAUGUCAACUAGUUGUUGGGGAUUCAUUUCCUUAGUAACGUAGCUAACGCGUGAAGUUGACCGCCU
rnacentral:rRNA from 1 species